rnacentral:rRNA from 1 species
CGAGUGAAGAGGGAAGAGCUCAAAUUUAAAAUCUGGCAGUGUUUUGCUGUCCGAGUUGUAAUCUAGAGAAGUGCUGCCCGUGCUGGACCAUGUACAAGUCUCCUGGAAUGGAGCGUCACAGAGGGUGAGAAUCCCGUCUUUGACAUGGACUGCCAGUGCAUUUGUGGUGUGCUCUCAAAGAGUCGAGUUGUUUGGGAAUGCAGCUCUAAAUGGGUGGUAAACUCCAUCUAAAGCUAAAUAUUGGCGAGAGACCGAUAGCGAACAAGUACCGUGAGGGAAAGAUGAAAAGAACUUUGGAAAGAGAGUUAAACAGUAUGUGAAAUUGUUGAAAGGGAAACGCUUAAAGUCAGUCGUGUCGGCCAGGGAUCAACUCAGUAAUUUUUGCUGGGUGUACUUCCUGAUCUGAUGGGCCAACAUCAGUUUUGACUGCUGGAGAAGGAUAGAGGGAAUGUGGCACCUUCGGGUGUGUUAUAGCUYUCUGUCGGAUGCAGUGGUUGGGACUGAGGAAAGCAGCAUGCCGCAAGGCCAGGUCAGUUUUGACCAUGUUCAUGCUGAGGAUGUUGGCAUAAUGGCUUUAAUCGACCCGUCUUGAAACACGGACCAAGGAGUCUAACAUGCCUGCGAGUGUUUGGGUGGCAAACCCGAGUGCGGAAUGAAAGUGAAAGGUUGAGAUCCCUGUCAUGGGGAGCAUCGACACCCGGACCUGAGCUUUUAGCAAAGGAUCUGCGGUAGAGCAUGUAUGUUAGGACCCGAAAGAUGGUGAACUAUGCCUGAAUAGGGUGAAGCCAGAGGAAACUCUGGUGGAGGCUCGUAGCGAUUCUGACGUGCAAAUCGAUCGUCGAAUUUGGGUAU